UAGGGAAUAUUGGGCAAUGGAGGGAACUCUGACCCAGCCAUGCCGCGUGCAGGAUGAAGGCGUUAUGCGUUGUAAACUGCUUUUUAUAUAGGAAGAAAUAGUCCUUGCGAGGAAAGUUGACGGUACUAUAUGAAUAAGCACCGGCUAACUCCGUGCCAGCAGCCGCGGUAAUACGGAGGGUGCAAGCGUUGCCCGGAUUUAUUGGGUUUAAAGGGUGCGUAGGCGGUUUAUUAAGUCAGUGGUGAAAGACGGUCGCUCAACGAUUGCAGUGCCAUUGAUACUGGUAGACUUGAGUAUGAUUGAGGUAGCUGGAAUGGAUAGUGUAGCGGUGAAAUGCAUAGAUAUUAUCCAGAACACCAAUUGCGUAGGCAAGUUACUAAGUCAUAACUGACGCUGAGGCACGAAAGUGUGGGUAUCAAACAGGAUUAGAUACCCAAGUAGUCCCUGAGCGGGCUGGCAAGGCGCAU
rnacentral:rRNA from 1 species